ACGGAGGGGGUUAGCGUUGUUCGGAAUUACUGGGCGUAAAGCGUACGUAGGCGGAUUAAUAAGUUAGAGGUGAAAUCCCAGGGCUCAACCCUGGAACUGCCUUUAAAACUGUUAGUCUUGAGAUCGAGAGAGGUGAGUGGAAUUCCAAGUGUAGAGGUGAAAUUCGUAGAUAUUUGGAGGAACACCAGUGGCGAAGGCGGCUCACUGGCUCGAUACUGACGCUGAGGUACGAAAGGGUGGGGAGCAAACAGG
rnacentral:rRNA from 1 species